CGUGCCUAACACAUGCAAGUCGAACGGAGCUGUUUUGGACGGAGACUUCGGUCAAAGACCAUAACAGCUUAGUGGCGGACGGGUGAGUAACGCGUGAGUAACCUGCCGUUCAGAGGGGGACAACAGUUGGAAACGACUGCUAAUACCGCAUAAUGUAUAUAGGAGGCAUCUUCUGUAUACCAAAGGAGCAAUCCGCUUUGAGAUGGCCUCGCGUCCGAUUAGCUAGUUGGUGAGGUAACGGCCCACCAAGGCGACGAUCAGUAGCCGGCCUGAGAGGGUGAACGGCCACAUUGGGACUGAGACACGGCCCAAACUCCUACGGGAGGCAGCAGUGGGGAAUAUUGCACAAUGGGGGAAACCCUGAUGCAGCAACGCCGCGUGAGUGAAGAAGUAUUUCGGUAUGUAAAGCUCUAUCAGCAGGGAAGAAAAUGACGGUACCUGACUAAGAAGCCCCGGCUAACUACGUG
rnacentral:rRNA from 1 species